GGGCCCGUAGCCUAGCCAGGAUAGGGCACCGGCCUCCUAAGCCGGGGGUCCGGGGUUCAAAUCCCCGCGGGCCCGCCA
rnacentral:tRNA from 2 species